rnacentral:rRNA from 1 species
GAUGAACGCUGGCGGCGUGCCUAAUACAUGCAAGUCGAGCGAACGGACGAGAAGCUUGCUUCUCUGAUGUUAGCGGCGGACGGGUGAGUAACACGUGGAUAACCUACCUAUAAGACUGGGAUAACUUCGGGAAACCGGAGCUAAUACCGGAUGAUAUUUUGAACCGCAUGGUUCAAAAGUGAAAGACGGUCUUGCUGUCACUUAUAGAUGGAUCCGCGCUGCAUUAGCUAGUUGGUAAGGUAACGGCUUACCAAGGAAACGAUGCAUAGCCGACCUGAGAGGGUGAUCGGCCACACUGGAACUGAGCCACGGUCCAGACUCCUACGGGAGGCAGCAGUAGGGAAUCUUCCGCAAUGGGCGAAAGCCUGACGGAGCAACGCCGCGUGAGUGAUGAAGGUCUUCGGAUCGUAAAACUCUGUUAUUAGGGAAGAACAUAUGUGUAAGUAACUGUGCACAUCUUGACGGUACCUAAUCAGAAAGCCACGGCUAACUACGUG